UGAUUGAAAAUCUUUAUUCAUAGCUUUAACUUUUACAAUUUUAAAGACUUUUUCAUAUAUUACAGUCAAAAAGUCAGAGUGUAAUUAAUAUUUUGUUUUAUAAUAAUCAACAUAUCAAAGCUUACACUACUGGCUUGGUCAGAGAGCGAGAGCGAUCGUUCUUGGAUACUGACCACCGAAAUUAUAUUUAGUUGCGAAGAACUGGCCUGGUUUUUUAGUCGUUUUGAGAACAUUUAGGUUUAUGAACGUAACAAUUUUUUUGUUGGAUUUCAAAGUCACCAACUUUGAAUUCCAUUUGAAAUCAACUGUUGAAAAAAACAACAGACUAUUCAUAUCAGUUUAAAGUUUUAACAGUUGCUGGUGGUUCAUUGUUAUUUAUUAUAUAAACGUUUAUUUAAAUUUAUCUAAUAGACAAAGGUAAUACGAUAUUUUUAUAGAUGAUAUUAUUUUUUAAAUUGUAUUAUUAAAAUUCAGAACUAAAAUAAAUAAAAAAAAAAUUAUAUUUAAACAUUUGACAAGGUCUGUACUGUACCUGGAAAAUCUGGAAAAUGUGUUAAUAUUGGCCAAAGUGGUGGAAAACCUGGAAAAGUCAGGGAAAUAUUUUUUUUUUUAGAUAGUCAUGGAAAAGUCAGUAUUUCUAGUUAAGAAGUUACUCAUUUUGCAAUUGAACGCUGUAUUUUGAAAACGUGAAGAGUCACACUUUUUAAAAUUGAGGUUAUUUGAAAAGAAUAUUUUCUUAAUCAUCCUUAAUAAGAAGAACCAUACUAGCAUGUAUAAUAAGAUCUAUACUAAUAUCUCAAACAUUAAUAAGAAUUGUUUUGUGUCAGUCCCAGAAAUUGAAUGCACACCUGCAAACUUCAUAAUUCAUAAAAAUAUUAUGAAUCCAUUAGCAAGUAUAUAUUUUGAUCAUUAAAAAUUUGGCCUUCUGUCUUUAAUUUUAUCUCUUUUGUUAGUGAUUCUUGUAUUUACUUUCAUAAAUUCUAAAUAUAAUAUAUAAUUAGUUGUAUAGUUUUUUAAUAAUAUAAUUAACUUUAUUGUUUCAAGAUAAAGUUGUAUCCUUGAAAAAUAUACUGGUAUUAUUGGCACAAUCGGCAAGCAUUGAAGUGCAACUUGGUGAACUACAAAAUACAUCAAAUUCAGUUAUAAAAAUUUGAGUAUCAAAGGUAUGCUAAUUAUUGUAUUGCCUGAAAGAGUGUCAUUGCCAUUAAAAGCAGUGAAGAAUUCAAGUACUCUGAAAGAAAAAAGACAAGAAAACACUUCAGUAAAUGGCUGCGUAUUUUUGCAAGUUAAUUAUUUGGCACAAAUUGAAGUUAAAGACGAAGGAGAUAGUAUUUGUUAUUUACUAAGAAUAGUUUAUUAAAAUGGCCUAGCUGUAAAAUUAAAUUAUGCAGGGAGAGGAUAAAAAAUUGGAAUAGGAAAAAUGUUGAUUGCAUAUGCUGCUAUUGAAACUGUGAAGUCAAUUAAGCAUGCAGACAUGUGAUAGAGAUAGCAGAAGAAAAAAUAAUAAUCGUGGGCACCAAAUAUCAUAAGCUAAACACGAUUCAAUAACAAGUAGCUCAGUCAAUAUCGAAACUUCUCUAUAAAUUUUACAGUGAAUUUUUUUAUUUAAAACUCAA